AUACUCACUCCCUUAAGAUCCCUCUUCUUCGUUUUCCUCGCUCUUUAUUCAGUAACUGUACUCACUUCCCUCUUGUCAUAUUCAUUCUCCGAAGAAAAGGAAGCGAAAUGGAAGAAGACUUCGACAUGCCCCAAGCUGAGGAGAUGAACGAAGACUUUGAUCUCCCCGACGAGGACCCAAUCCUGAAGGUUGGCGAGGAGAAGGAGAUCGGAAACCAAGGCCUCAAGAAGAAGCUCCUCAAGGAAGGUCAAGGCUGGGAUACCCCCGAAGUUGGUGAUGAAGUCGAAGUUCACUACACGGGGACUCUGCUUGAUGGAACGAAGUUCGAUUCGAGCCGCGAUAGGGAUAGCACUUUCAAGUUCACUCUCGGACAAGGGCAAGUAAUUAAAGGAUGGGAUGAAGGCAUUAAAACCAUGAAAAAGGCGGAAAAUGCUCUUUUCACCAUCCCUCCUGCGCUAGCCUAUGGUGCAUCUGGCUCACCUCCAACUAUUCCUCCGAAUGCAACACUCCAGUUUGAUGUCGAGCUUUUGUCUUGGACUAGUGUAAAGGACAUAUGUAAGGAUGGUGGUAUAUUUAAGAAAAUACUUAAGGAGGGGGAAGGAUGGGAAAACCCCAAGGAUCCUGAUGAAGUAUUAGUUAAGUAUGAGGUUCUUCUGGAAGAUGGAAAGGCUGUGGCUAAGUCUGAUGGAGUGGAGUUCAGUGUCAGAGAGGGUCACUAUUGUCCUGCAUUGUCAAAGGCUGUUAAAACCAUGAAGAAGGGAGAGAAAGUUAUUUUGACAGUGAAGCCACAAUAUGGAUUUGGUGAGAAAGGGAAGCCAGCAGAUGGUGAUGAAGGAGCAGUUCCACCAAACGCAACAUUGCAGAUUACUCUCGAGUUAGUCUCCUGGAAGACUGUGUCUGAGGUAACUGAUGACAAGAAAGUGGUGAAGAAGAUACUCAGUGAAGGGCAAGGAUAUGAGCGGCCAAAUGAGGGGGCUGUUGUGAAAGUGAAACUGACUGGUAAGCUGAAAGAUGGCACUGUCUUUGUGACAAAGGGCCAUGAAGAGGAGCUGUUUCAAUUUAGAACAGACGAAGAGCAAGUCAUUGAUGGGCUUGAUAGAGGUGUAAUGUCCAUGAAGAAAGGUGAAGUGGCAUUACUGACUAUUGCACCUGAGUAUGCUUUUGGUUCAGCAGAAUCCCAGCAAGAGUUGGCUGUUGUUCCUUCUAACUCAACUGUGUAUUAUGAGGUGGAGCUAGUUUCGUUCGAGAAGGAGAAGGAGUCCUGGGAUCUGAACACUCAAGAGAAAAUUGAAGCUGCUGGUAAGAAGAAAGAAGAAGGAAAUGUAUUAUUUAAAGCUGCUAAAUAUGUAAGAGCUUCCAAAAGAUAUGAUAAGGCAGUAAAGUUUAUAGAAUAUGAUUCCUCCUUCAGCGCUGAUGAGAAAAAACAGGCCAAGACCUUGAAGGUUGCCUGCAAUCUGAACAAUGCUGCUUGCAAGUUGAAGUUAAAAGAAUACAAAGAAGCAGAGAAAUUGUGUACAAAGGUCCUGGAGCUUGAGAGUACCAAUGUGAAAGCUCUUUACAGAAGGGCCCAGGCAUAUAUGCAGUUGGCUGAUUUGGAUUUGGCUGAAUUUGACAUUAAGAAAGCUCUUGAUAUUGAUCCUGACAAUAGCUGCCAUGUCAUUGUUGUCGAUGUGUGUCAACUAGGGAGGUAAAGCUGGAGUACAGGACUUUGAAGGAGAAGGUUAAGGAGUAUAACAAAAAGGAGCAGAAGUUUUAUGGAAACAUAUUCAACAAGUUGACAAAGGCUGGUUCUUGAUUUCAAUUGAGUUGAGUUUAUAUACUCUCGGGUUAUUGCAGAAACCGACUACUCCACGGUAUCAAGCAUGUGUUAUUGACAGCAACAUGUGUAUUUGUAACGAAUUAUAUAUUUGAAACUGAAGUUGAGGGCCGGCUCUCUGGGGUUUGAUCUUUCGGUGUAUUGAUUGUGGACUUAAACGUGACUAUGAUGAGGACACAUUCAUUUCAUAAUUGAUAUUUGAAUUUGAAUUUGUAA